AGCAGCCGCGGUAAUUCCAGCUCCAAUAGCGUAUAUUAAGGUUGUUGCAGUUAAAAAGCUCGUAGUUGUACUUCGGGGUUUACUCAUUGGUCAGGCUUAAUUGUCUGUACUGGUUAGAUGAAUCUCUACCUUCUGAGGAACUUUCAUGCCAUUUGUUUGGUGUGAUUGGAAAUCAGGACUGUUACUUUGAAAAAAUUAGAGUGUUUAAAGCAGGCUAACGUCUGAAUACAUUAGCAUGGAAUAAUGAAAUAGGACGGAUUGAUUCUAUUUCGUUGGUUUCUAGGGUCACCGUAAUGAUUAAUAGGGAUAGUUGGGGGCAUUAGUAUUCAAUUGUCAGAGGUGAAAUUCUUGGACUUAUUGAAGACUAACUACUGCGAAAGCAUUUGCCAAGGAUGUUUUCAUUAAUCAAGAACGAAAGUUAGGGGAUCGAAGACGAUCAGAUACCGUCGUAGUCUUAACCAUAAACUAUGCCGACUAGGGAUCGGACGCAGUUAAUUUUAUAAUGACGUG
rnacentral:rRNA from 1 species